rnacentral:lncRNA from 1 species
AAAUAAGUAAAUUCCAUCUGUCUUUUUUGCUGAAAACACCCGUCACACAAGCCUUUGCAACAGAAGACUCUAGAUUUGGAAUAACACAAUGGCACCCAUGCAAAGAGAGGAAGUAUCUGGUUCGGGAAAAAGCCUUCCUACUUUGAUUCAGCAGGCCAGUUUCCCACUUUUCUUCUUUUUUUAAAUCUCCUUUCCUCACUAUAUCCUGGCCACCCUCGUUCAUAGAAUGAGAAGGAAGAAAGAAACAGUGAAGGGAAGAAGGAGACAGGAGACAAAGGAGAAGCAACAGGAACCAAUGAUCGCUCCUUUGAAAUGUUUCUCACUUUCAACCAGGCAUGCCUCCACCCCAUUCCACCCCGCCACCCCCCUCCAAGCCAGGACACCUCACCCCUGGACUGCCACCCUCAUCCAAGGACCACCACCCUCAUCCAAGCCAGGACCCCUCACCCCUGGACCGCCACCCUCAUCCAAGCCAGGACCCCUCACCCCUGGACCGCCAUCCUCAUCCAAGCCAGGACCCCUCACCCCUGGACCGCCACCCUCAUCCAAGCCAGGACCCCUCACCCCUGGACCGCCACCCCCGUCCAAGCCAGGACACCUCACCCCUGGACCGCCACCCUCAUCCAAGCCAGGACACUUCACCCCUGGACCGUGGUACAACUACCUGGUGUGUCUCCUGCUUCCACUUCUGUGACGUCCUGCCCACAAUCCUUUUGCAGCACACUAGCCAAG